GGCAAUUGACCCAAUUCAUGUGGCAAGUGGGAAGGAGCAUCAUUAUCCCUAUACGAGCCCACACUAUCACUAUUAGACCUAAGUAGUUGACCGACCCCUUCUUUAUGACUAAGAAAGGGUUUAGUAAACCUAGCAAAUGACUGUUGUGGAAUAUAUGAGUUGUGCGACAACCCUCCCCAUAUAACAUCAUAAGGGUACUCCAUCGUGCCUGCCACCGAGGUACUGACGUACUGUUCAGGUCCGUCGAACGCAACCGGACCAUCACAAACCGACAGGCACCACCCAUCACCAAUACCUCCUUUGUGCGAUCCGUGACUCGCACGACCAGAGAACACCGAAACCAUGGUCGGAGACUGAGUAGAGGGGCCACAAUAGUCGCGAUCGAAUCGGUAAUAACACUUCUGCGCCAUAUGUCCAAAUCGGCCACAUAUUUGGUACGAAAGAUGAGUGCGAAACCCACGCCCACGAGCCGAAAAAGAAGACGAACGGCCGCCUCGCACGAAGUCAACCACUAGUGUUGACGGAGCGGUCUCAACUAGAUUUGCUUGAAAUGUCGCUUCUGUUGCCGCACGAGUUUGACGGCUCUCAAACUCCAAAAGAGCAUCGAUAACUUUUUGGAAAGGAAGUGGCUCUGUCGAGAACGAUGCGAAAGUUAAAAAAACAUCAAAAUUCGAUGAUAAUCCGGCAAGUAUAAUUUCCACCUUCUCCGCCGCCGGAACCGCAGAUCUAGAUACAUCAAGCAACACACAGGUAUUUUGUAUUUUCGUUACAUAUUAUUUGACAGUCAUGACUCCUUUCUUGAUUGAAUGAAGUUCAUGCCUUAUUUGAGAUACUUUUGCUCCAGUGGCAGUGACAAAAAAAUGAUUGGCCAUACUCCAAACAUCACAGGCAGAUUUGGCCGCUGUAAAACAAGAUAACAAAGAAGAACUAAUAGUAGAAAAAAGCCAAGAAGCAAGAAGCCUAUCUUGCUGGACGAAGACCGAGACAGUAGGAUUUGGAGUGAGAACCCCAUCGGGAGAGGAGAUGAAUCGAGGCAGAGCGAGUAACGCCCUUUCCAAAUAACCGAGUAACUCAUAUCCUUCAAUUAUUAGUCGUAUAUGCUGCUGUCAUUGGAUGAAAUUUCCUUCAUCCAAUUUCACCGUAUCAUGCGUAGGAAAAGUAUGAACCAACCGGACGUCGGAGAGAGCGGGAUUGCCAUGAUUAGCAGCGGUAGAGUUAGUAGAAUUUGCAAUGAACGCAGCGAGAAGAGCCUCCAAGAGCUUCAGGCGACUGAUACCAUGUUAGUAAGUAUAGAAAAUAGAAAGGAAAUAUAAAAAGAGUAUUGACUGAAUAUUCUAUUAUUAAUUGCUUGGAUGAAUCUGUACAGAAACAAGACUUAUAUACAUGAGUAAGUGUCAACUACUGCUAACUAAUUCUACUAACAAUAUACCAGAUUGUAUAACUGACUGCUAACAACCUAACUUACCUUAUACACUAACACCAACCAUCAUCAUCGGUAAAUAAAAAAUGAAUUACACCAUUUUCGAUUAUGUAGGGAUUUAGUAUGGAAAAAGUUAAUAAGGAAAAAGCUAGUUGAAAUAUGAUUUCCAUGACCAUAUGUCUGCUUGUUCUUUUGAUUACCGUAAUGAAACAAUCAUAUGCUCUUCAAAUACGUUUUCCAUAAUUAGAACGUGUAUAUUGAUGGGAAGAAACCAAAAUUACCGGAAAUGGCGGAACCAUCUGUGUUCUUUAUUACUAAAGAAACACAAACAACCAAUACCAAAAGCACAAUAACUAUAAAUAUGAAAUUAAAUGAUGCGGAAAAUUCUUUUAAAAUAAAAAUCAGACUAUAGAGUUAACUUAAAAGUUGUAUUGUAUUCUAAGUUCUUGCUAUAAGAUCAUGAUAUAAAGUCAUUGCAAAGAACAUGUAACUUUGAAAAGUUGAAAAUAUCACCCAUAAACAGAGUUGAAUUUAAAAUUAAAGUUCCAAAACUAUAAUACUCAAAUAAAAAAUUCGAUCGUCAAAUCCCUUGAACGCUACCCAAAAUCAGCUCAAAUGAACCUUAGAAAAGAGAAAAUAAAUUAUUUUUCUCUUCUUCUUUGAGUGUACCAACUUUUACUUCCAAUAUUUAAAAUAUAAAAAGUUGCCCCACCUUUUAUUAACAGCCAAGUUUUCCCACACAUAGUGAGACCCACAACCCAACAAAUCUCCCUCUCACUAUGCAAGGGAGUUCGCCAUACCAACAAUCAAACAAUGAAUUUUGAACUUUCCUUUGGGUAUGAUUUUGGUGAACAUAUACAUACUAUUAUUACCAUUGUGAUUAAUGUAAAUGAAUAUAGAAAUUCAUAAAAAGAAAUAAAGAAAACGCUAACAAAUAACUGAAUAGAGUAAUUAUCAAAACAACUUGCUAAAAUGACUAAUAAAAAGAAUUUGAGUUAAACCAUAUCCAAAGACUCAAUUAGAAUGUUUUGAAAUUGAUGGAUCAAUUUGGUAAUUUUAAAAUAUGUCAUAAAUCCCUGUAUUUCUCAUAAAUUUGAAAUUUAAUCAUUGUACGUUUAUUUUUUAAAAUUUAGUUCCUCUACUUUUCAAAAUUCAAAAUUGAAAUCCAACUGUUAAACUGUUAAAAUUAUUUUCUUAAAUUCACAUUCAUUACAAUUUCAUUUUUGUAAUUUUAUUACUACCAAGUAAGUUUUUUUUUUAAUUUCAAAAUGUCACAGCAAUAAAUUUAACAAAAAAAAAAACAUACCAAUGUUAACAAUUAGAGUUAGUAUUUUGAAAUAUGAAAAAUAGAGAAACUAAAUUGCUAUAACAAAAAGUACAAAAUCUAAAUUUGAAAUUUGUGAAGAAUACAAUACCAUUUAAUAAACCAUAGUAGAACAACCAUGACAACAAAGAAAUCACUGUAAAAUUUUCGAGUCAUCUACGAAAAAGUUUAAAAUGCUCCCAACUUCGCAAAUUUUCGACAACGUUGGAGAGGGUGAUACUCACUCCGACGGUGGUCGUAACUCCAAAAAAGUGAGAUUUAAAGAGUCUUUUGCUGAUGAUGAAAAUUCUAUGGCAGUGGAUCCAGUACCAAAGUAGAUCGUGUCGUGGAAAGAUAAAUUACUGGGGAAUCAAGAUGAUUUCACUGACUCAGUUCGGGCAGUGCUUUCUGUCGUGAAUGAAAAUGAAUUCGAGUUACUUGAAGGAGACGUUAAUACGUCAAUCAUUGAUGGGAUUCCUGCGACUGAGUUUUCAGAUCGGAUCAAGGAAAUCCUUUUCAAAGAAAUAGAGUUGGCUGUCAUCGUUAAACUCCUAGGGCGAAACAUUGGCUAUAACACCCUUUAUAAUCACAUUCUUUUUCUUUGGAAGCUUGUGAAUUCUAUUCAGUUAAUGGAUAUAGCUAACGGAUAUUUUUUGGUGAAAUUUCAGGAUCUUGGAGAUUACAACAAGGCUCUUUCACAGGGUCCGUGGAUAGUUUAUGGCCAGUACCUGACUGUUCAACCUUGGUCUAAGCAUUUC
rnacentral:lncRNA from 1 species